AGACCCGAAACCCGGUGAUCUAGCCAUGGGCAGGUUGAAGGUUGGGUAACACUAACUGGAGGACCGAACCGACUAAUGUUGAAAAAUUAGCGGAUGACCUGUGGCUGGGGGUGAAAGGCCAAUCAAACCGGGAGAUAGCUGGUUCUCCCCGAAAGCUAUUUAGGUAGCGCCUCGUGAAUUCAUCUCCGGGGGUAGAGCACUGUUUCGGCUAGGGGGCCAUCCCGGCUUACCAACCCGAUGCAAACUGCGAAUACCGGAGAAUGUUAUCACGGGAGACACACGGCGGGUGCUAACGUCCGUCGUGAAGAGGGAAACAACCCAGACCGCCAGCUAAGGUCCCAAAGUCAUGGUUAAGUGGGAAACGAUGUGGGAAGGCCCAGACAGCCAGGAUGUUGGCUUAGAAGCAGCCAUCAUUUAAAGAAAGCGUAAUAGCUCACUGGUCGAGUCGGCCUGCGCGGAAGAUGUAACGGGGCUAAACCAUGCACCGAAGCUGCGGCAGCGACACUGUGUGUUGUUGGG
rnacentral:rRNA from 1 species